rfam:Ipomoea nil DNA, scaffold: scaffold0305, cultivar: Tokyo-kokei standard.
GACUCUCGCAACGGAUAUCUCGGCUCUCGCAUCGAUGAAGAACGUAGCGAAAUGCGAUACUUGGUGUGAAUUGCAGAAUCCCGUGAACCAUCGAGUCUUUGAACGCAAGUUGCGCCGAAGCCGUUAGGCCGAGGGCACGUCUGCCUGGGCGUCA